ensembl:lncRNA
AUGGAAGAUGUUUUCGAUGAUGAUGAUGAUAAUGUUUGUGAUGUAGAUGAUGCAGAUGAUAGUAUUAAAGAUGAUGACAAUAGUGGGAUUGAUGAGGAUGAUGAAGAUGAUGAGGAUUGUUUUAUUGAGUGUAUUAAAGAUGUAGUUGAUGAUGGUUUUAAUUCUGGUGAUGAAGCUUGUGAGUUAGCUGAAGAUGAUAAGGAUGAGAAAAAUGUUGCAGAGGUUGUUGAUAGUGAGGGCUGCGCUGGAAGGGUUGAUGAUGAUGGCAAUGAUAGUGGUGCUGAAGAUGAUGGUGACAGUGAUGAUGACGGUGUAGAUGAUAGUGUUGAAUGUAUUAUUGAUGCUGAUGUAAAUGUUGGUGAUGAAAAUAGUGAGGAUGGUGUGUUAGGCUGUGAGCUUGUUGAUGAUGGUACGGAUGAGAAAGAUAAUGUAGUGGUUCCUGAAAAUGAGGGCUGUGAUGGUGGGGUUGAUGAUGAUAGUAUAGGAGAUGGUGUUGAUGAUGCUGAUGAAAGUAAGGGUGAGGAACGUGAUUCAGAGGUUGUGCUAAUGGGGGUUGGUGAUAAUUUCAGUAGUGGGAGUGAUGAAGAUGGUGCUGAUGGUGAUGAAGAUGGUGUUGUUGAUAGUAUUGAAGAUGGUGGUGAUGAAGAUGGUGUAGAUAAAAGUGUUGAAGAAGAUGAAGAUGAUGAUGUCAAUAGUGGGACUGAUGAAGAUGCUGCUGUGGAUGGUAAAGAUGAAGAGGAUGGUGGAGUUGAUAUUACUGAGGAUGUUGAUAAUGAUAAAGAUGUUAAUGAUGGGGUGGAUGGUGAUGUAAGCUGUGAGUCUGCUGAUGAUGGUAAGAAUGAAGAUGAUGCAGAGGUUGCUGAUAGUGAGGGUUUUGCUGAUUGGGUUGAUGACAAUAGUGGGAAAGAUGAAGAUGUUAAUGAUGAAGAUGUUAUAGAUGAUAGUGUUGAUGAUGAUGAUGAUGGUGAUAAUGGUACUGAUGAAGAUUGUGUUGAGUAUGGUGAAGAUGAUGAAGAUUGUGAUUUUGAUGGUACUGAAGAUGGUAGUGAUGAUGACAAUAAUGGGACAGCUGAAGAUGUUGAUACAGUUGAUGAUAUUAAUGAUGGUGAUGAAGAUAAUGGGGAUGGUGAUGAAGGCUGCAUGCUUGCUGAUGAUGAGGAAGAUGUUGUAGAGGCUGCUGAUAGUGAGGGCUGUGCUGCUGGGGUUGAUGAUAAGGUUGUUGAUGAGGUUGUGGUUGGUGUUGAUGAUGUAGAUGGUGGUAUAGUUAAAGAUGGUGAGGUUGAUGAAGUUUGUGUUGAGGUUAUUGCUGAAGAUGGUGGCAUUGAGGAUGACAAUGGUGUGGAUGAUAAUGUUGAUUCUGCCGACACUGGUAAAGAUGAAGAGGAUUUUGUUGAUGUAGAAGAUGAGGAUGAUGAUGAUGGUUUAAUAGUCGGUGAGGAUGAUGACUUUGGUGAUGAUGGUGAGGUUGGCACUGAAGACUGUUGGAAUGUUGGAUGUGGCUGA